CUCCUACGGGAGGCAGCAGUGGGGAAUAUUGGACAAUGGGCGCAAGCCUGAUCCAGCAAUGCCGCGUGUGUGAAGAAGGCCUUCGGGUUGUAAAGCACUUUCAUCAGGAGCGAAAUACUAUCGGUUAAUAACCGGUGGGGCUGACGGUACCUGAG
rnacentral:rRNA from 1 species